rnacentral:rRNA from 1 species
GACGAACGCUGGCGGCGUGCUUAACACAUGCAAGUCGAACGGAAAGGCCCUGCUCUUGUGGGGUGCUCGAGUGGCGAACGGGUGAGUAACACGUGAGUAACCUGCCCUUGACUUUGGGAUAACUUCAGGAAACUGGGGCUAAUACCGGAUAGGAGCUCCUGCUGCAUGGUGGGGGUUGGAAAGUUUCGGCGGUUGUGGAUGGACUCGCGGCUUAUCAGCUUGUUGGUGGGGUAGUGGCUUACCAAGGCUUUGACGGGUAGCCGGCCUGGGAGGGUGACCGGCCACAUUGGGACUGAGAUACGGCCCAGACUCCUACGGGAGGCAGCAGUGGGGAAUAUUGCACAAUGGGCGGAAGUCUGAUGCAGCAACGCCGCGUGCGGGAUGACGGCCUUCGGGUUGUAAACCGCUUUCGCCUGUGACGAAGCGUGAGUGACGGUAAUGGGUAAAGAAGCACCGGCUAACUACGUG